GACGAACGCUGGCGGCGUGCCUAAUACAUGCAAGUCGACCGCAGUUGCGAACGGGUGAGUAACGCGUAGGUAACUGCCUCAUAGCGGGGGAUAACUAUUGGAAACGAUAGCUAAUCCCGCAUCCUGUGAGAUGGACCUGCGUUGUAUUAGUUUGUUGGUGAGGUAAAGGCUCACCAGGGCGACGAUACAUAGCCGACCUGAGAGGGUAAUCGGACACACUGGGCGUGAGAGACGACGCGGAUGACGACGGGCGGCAGCAGUAGGGAGGCGUCGGCAAUGGAGGGAAGUCGGACCGAGCAACGCUGAGGGAGGGAGGAAGGUGGGCGGAUCGUAAAGCGCUGUUGUUAGAGAGGCGGUAAGUAGCCAGAAAGGGACGGCUAACUACGUGCCAGCAGCCGCGGUAAUUC
rnacentral:rRNA from 1 species